GGGGGGGGCGGGCGGGGGGCCGAGUAGGGGGGAGGCGGGCGGACAGACGAGGGGCGGGCGGCUCGGACGUUAGCGGCUGCCGGGUGAUUAGCACGUAGCUAACCUACGUAGACAACUGGGCUCCCUUCGGGACGCCCGAGCUACUCCCGGCUCAUAUAUUGUCCCGCCGGGGUCAAUCGUGACAGACAGGGGUGCUUGCCCGUCGAUCAUGCUCCGCGCGCCAAUCGCUUGUUUGUAAGGUAACGGCUUACCAAGCUGACGAUGCGGAGCCGACGUGAGAGGGUGAUCGGCCACACUGGAACUGAGACACGGUCCAGACUCCUACGGGAGGCAGCAGUAGGGAAUCUUCAGACAUGGGCGAAAGCCUGACGGAGCAACGCCGCGUGAGUGAUGAAGGUCUUCGGAUCGUAAAACUCUGUUAUUAGGGAAGAACAAAUGUGUAAGUAACUAUGCACGUCUUGACGGUACCUAAUCAGAAAGCCACGGCUAACUACGUG
rnacentral:rRNA from 1 species